GCAGAACUUUAAGUUAAAACUAACUAUAAAUAAAUAAACCAGCUGACUCAAAUUUAAUAAUCUGGAUAACCUUGUAUGAAAUAAUAAUAUUCAACGGGCCUCCAUGGUUGAUUGAAUCGGCCCAAUAAUGUUAUGGGCCUAUUUCGCUAGCUUCGCUCCUGUUCUUCGUUCUUCACUGCGCUUCCCUCUUCAUUGGUUGUUACUGUGACUGUGAUUUCUUUUUCUUCUUCUUCAGAUUGUUCCAAACUUUAUUUUCCAUUAUUGAUGGCUCCUCAUGUUGCGUUUUGGGUCGACGAGAAACACUCCAAGUUUCAACCAUGGCUGCCACUCUAACUUCUAGAUCUUCUCUCGUUUGCCUUCACCUUUACUCAUUUUUAUUCUUCCUCAUCACCGGUUUUUCCUCAUGGGUUUUCAUAAAAGCUUCCAAAUUUUAGGUGAAGAAAUUAACUUGCUUUGGUUUACUCGUUGAAAACCAAACUAGUGGGUCGUUCUAUGUUUGGUUGAUUGAGCAAUAGCUUCUCUGGUUCGUUAUGAUGACAUGAAAUAACAUCCACCAAUUUCUUACCCAGCAGCAACAGACCUUCAUACAGAUGAGGAUUGAAGGUAGUUGAUUCACAUUCCAAUGAAAAAGUGAAGAAAAGAAAGAUAGUAUAUUGUCUGAAUCCUGAUUAUGUGAAGUUAAAAGCGUUGAAAUUUCAUGCUCGAAAAACAUUAAAAAAGGUAAACGCUAUGAAGGGACAAAAAUUACUAGUAUCGAAUUAAUGUUGUUCGAGCAUGAAAUUUCAAUGGUGUCAACUUUUUCUCUUUUUAUCUUUGUUCUUAUCUAUAUAGAUAACGUGAUUACGUAUUGGGUCAUGUAUAACAAAAGUACAAUACUCUUCUUACGCUAUUAAACAAGGCUUUGGGUAUAAUAUGAAUUUAAUUUAUUUAAAUAUUAAAAUUCACGCACAUACA